CUUCUUAGUGUUGAACAGCAUUCUGCUAGAUGAAAAUACCUAAUUCUGUUUACCAGUUCUGACGGAUAUUUAUGUUCUCUCCACGUGUCCCAGGAUCGGCCUGUUGUGAACAAAGCUGCUCUGGACACUUACCUACCAGUCUGCGUGCGUUACUCUAAAAUGUACCCAGGACUCUGGUUUCACUCAGCGAAGGGGAGGUCAACAGGUCAGCAGGCAACCACAGCUGAAGUCACCAUUACAAAGGAUCCUGGGGGGCAUAAAGAAGCUACAUGAAGUUAUACUGGAUGACAGACUCGGCUAAGUUCCCAGCUGACAAUUGACAGGAAUUUUUAGACAUG